CCCCUCUGAGGAUUGCACCUGGAGAGUUUCCAGUACUCUACCAGUCUCGGCCAUGGGAGGGAGAGUCAAGCAGAGGCAUAUCCAUUCCAUUCCUAGCUACGGCAGUGGCUGGCGAGUGGAAGACAAUCUGCUAUAAGU
rfam:Ornithorhynchus anatinus chromosome 18, whole genome shotgun sequence.